GGAAGUAAAAGUAACAAGGUUUCCGUAGGUGAACCUGCGGAAGGAUCAUUAAUGAGUUGUCAUGGGGUUCGAUGCUGGCAGCCAAUUUUUGGAUGCAUGUGCUUGCCCUAACAAUCAUCUUCCAAACACCUGUGCACAUUUUUGAGGGAGUCUUGAGUUGGUUGCCGCUCUUGGGUGAUUUUCUCACAUUCCCUUAAAUCAUUAUACGCUAUUAACAAUGUUGAACGUGCUCUGUGCCGCAAGGCUAUUAAUAUAAUACAACUUUUAACAACGGAUCUCUUGGCUCUC
rnacentral:misc_RNA from 1 species